CAGCCCGCGGUAAUACAGAGGGUGCGAGCGUUAAUCGGAUUUACUGGGCGUAAAGCGUGCGUAGGCGGCUUUUUAAGUCGGAUGUGAAAUCCCUGAGCUUAACUUAGGAAUUGCAUUCGAUACUGGGAAGCUAGAGUAUGGGAGAGGAUGGUAGAAUUCCAGGUGUAGCGGUGAAAUGCGUAGAGAUCUGGAGGAAUACCGAUGGCGAAGGCAGCCAUCUGGCCUAAUACUGACGCUGAGGUACGAAAGCAUGGGGAGCAAACAGGAUUAGAUACCCCUGUAGUCCCUGUCUCUUAUACAC
rnacentral:rRNA from 1 species